AUUGAACGCUGGCGGCAGGCCUAACACAUGCAAGUCGAACGGUAACAGGAAGCAGCUUGCUGCUUUGCUGACGAGUGGCGGACGGGUGAGUAAUGUCUGGGAAACUGCCUGAUGGAGGGGGAUAACUACUGGAAACGGUAGCUAAUACCGCAUAACGUCGCAAGACCAAAGAGGGGGACCUUCGGGCCUCUUGCCAUCGGAUGUGCCCAGAUGGGAUUAGCUAGUAGGUGGGGUAACGGCUCACCUAGGCGACGAUCCCUAGCUGGUCUGAGAGGAUGACCAGCCACACUGGAACUGAGACACGGUCCAGACUCCUACGGGAGGCAGCAGUGGGGAAUAUUGCACAAUGGGCGCAAGCCUGAUGCAGCCAUGCCGCGUGUAUGAAAAAGGCCUUCGGGUUGUAAAGUACUUUCAGCGGGGAGGAAGGGAGUAAAGUUAAUACCUUUGCUCAUUGACGUUACCCGCAGAAGAAGCACCGGCUAACUCCGUG
rnacentral:rRNA from 1 species